ensembl:lncRNA
GUAAAACACAGCUUGAGGGCUGUUGAUUUUUUUGGGAUAGGUGGCGCUAUCGAGCCAUUUUGCCGCACCCUCUUCUGAAACCUAUAUCAGCGGUAAAUUUUCACCAGUUCUGAUGUGUGUGCAAAGUUUCGUGAGUUUUGGAGCAUGUUUAGGCCCUCAAAAAUGCGACUCAUUGCGGAGAAGAAGAAGAAGAAAUAUAGCUGCAAGCAGCAAUGGUGGGCUCAAGCCAUCAGCGCAAACACCGCCCCGGUGGCAUCAGGAAAAUUGUGCCCAGCGGGCACAUGCAUUUACAGUAACUCUAUGGCAGUCUGGUUUUAAGGAUUCGGCAAUUAAAGGGUUAAUCCAAACCAUCAAGACUAUGAAAGACACACACACACAGAACAAUAUAUAAAACUUUAGUAACACUUUUAAUAAGGUUUCAGUUAUUAACAUUAACUAUAUUAAUUAACAUGAACAAUAAUUAUAUAGCAUGUCAA